GACGAACGCUGGCGGCGUGCUUAACACAUGCAAGUCGAGCGGUAAGGCCCUUUCGGGGGUACACGAGCGGCGAACGGGUGAGUAACACGUGGGUGACCUGCCCUCAGCUCUGGGAUAAGCCUGGGAAACGUGGGUCUAAUACCGGAUAUGACUCCAUGACGCAUGUUGUGGGGUGGAAAGCCUUGUGCGGCUGAGGAUGGGCCCGCGGCCUAUCAGCUUGUUGGUGGGGUGANGGCCUACCAAGGCGACGACGGGUAGCCGGCCUGAGAGGGCGACCGGCCACACUGGGACUGAGACACGGCCCAGACUCCUACGGGAGGCAGCAGUGGGGAAUCUUGCGCAAUGGGCGAAAGCCUGACGCAGCGACGCCGCGUGAGGGAUGACGGCCU
rnacentral:rRNA from 1 species